rnacentral:rRNA from 1 species
GUGGGGAAUAUUGGACAAUGGACCGAGAGUCUGAUCCAGCAAUUCUGUGUGCACGAUGAAGUUUUUCGGAAUGUAAAGUGCUUUCAGUUGGGAAGAAAUAAAUGACGGUACCAACAGAAGAAGUGACGGCUAAAUACGUGCCAGCAGCCGCGGUAAUACGUAUGUCACGAGCGUUAUCCGGAUUUAUUGGGCGUAAAGCGCGUCUAGGUGGUUAUGUAAGUCUGAUGUGAAAAUGCAGGGCUCAACUCUGUAUUGCGUUGGAAACUGUGUAACUAGAGUACUGGAGAGGUAAGCGGAACUACAAGUGUAGAGGUGAAAUUCGUAGAUAUUUGUAGGAAUGCCGAUGGGGAAGCCAGCUUACUGGACAGAUACUGACGCUAAAGCGCGAAAGCGUGGGUAGCAAACAGGA